rnacentral:tRNA from 1 species
GGGCGGUUAGCUCAACUGGCCAGAGCGUCGCAUUUACACUGCGAAGGCUGAGGGUUCGAGUCCUUCACCGCCCA